rnacentral:rRNA from 1 species
UACGUAGGCAGCAAGCGUUGUUCGGAAUUACUGGGCGUAAAGAGUUCGUAGGCGGUUUGCCAAGUUUGGUGUGAAAUCUCCCGGCUUAACUGGGAGGGUGCGCUAAAUACUGGCAGGCUUGAGUAUAGGAGAGGAAAGCGGAAUUCCUGGUGUAGCGGUGAAAUGCGUAGAUAUCAGGAGGAACACCUGUGGUGUAGACGGCUUUCUGGACUAUAACUGACGCUGAGGAACGAAAGCGUGGGUAGCAAACAGG